rnacentral:rRNA from 1 species
UACGGAGGGUGCGAGCGUUGUCCGGAAUCACUGGGCGUAAAGGGCGCGUAGGUGGCUCGUGAAGCGUGCGGUGAAAGUCCGAGGCUCAACCUCGGAUCGGCCGUGCGGACUCGCGGGCUCGAGCGUUGUAGAGGCGGGUGGAAUUCCGGGUGUAGCGGUGAAAUGCGUAGAUAUCAGGAGGAACACCUGCGGUGUAGACGGCUUUCUGGACCAUUGCUGACGCUGAGACACGAAAGCGUGGGUAGCAAACAGG